UGGAGCGGGGGGGCAGGAGGGGCUCAGGGAGAAAGUGUGUGCAUCCCCUGGCCCUCUCUGCCCUUCCGUCCCCUGUCCCUGCAC
rnacentral:pre_miRNA from 14 species